UGGCGGGGGGGGGCUCGGCGGCGCGGCCGGGGCGCGGGCAGCGGCCAUGAGCAAACGGAACCAGGUCUCCUACGUGCGGCCGGCCGAGCCCGCCUUUCUCAGCCGCUUCAAGCGGCAGGUUGGGUAUCGGGAGGGGCCCACUGUGGAAACCAAGAGAGAGCAGCUUCCAGUUGCAGAUGAUGAUAGUGAGAAUGGCAGUGACAAUGAAGAUGAGCAGCCUCAAGUGGUGACACUGAAAAAAGGGGACUUAACUGCUGAAGAAGCAAUGAAAAUUAAACAGCAAAUCAAAGAGGCCUUAAAGUCAAAUGAAUCAGAUGGUGAACCAGAACCUGUGGAUGGAAAAAUUAUGUUCAGGAAACCAGCCAAACGUUCAUCAGAGAAGUUUUUGGACUUCAAUCAUCAAGGUCAGCGCAUGGAGAAGCGCAGAAAGCAAGGUCAGCCACUCCUUUCAAACCCAGGAACUUCAAACAGUGGCCACCCAUCCUGGGUGAAAAGCAACACUUCACACAGAUAUAACCCUCUUGCAGGGGAAAACAACGGUGGCUGUAUGUCUCAGGAAGAUCUGCGUUUAUGCUGCUGCGCGUGGGAUGGUGGUACACAUCCUGCAUGCUGGUAGAGUGUCAGUCACCAGCGUAAAGAGAGAGAAGCAGGGCACAGAAACAAUAAAUUUGGGUCUGUUAUUGCCCUUCAGCUGACUGUGGAAAGAAGACUGUCUUCUGGAAAGGUCUGUAUGGAUAAGCUGCUGACAUCUGUGGUAAGGUUGCUGUGCCUCUUCAUACACUGUUUUCAUAUAAAGAAUAAACUGUAUGACUCAAAAAAAAAAUAUUCUUACACUGAAAUGCCCUGUGUUGUCAGAAAAGUGAGCCCAAGAUUUAUAUUCACAGAAAUUGGUCCAUUAGACUGGGCAGAGAGCAAUUUGCCUGUAGAUGCCUUUAAGUAAGAACAUGAACACUUUACUAGGGAGAAGGAACAAAUUUUAAGACAGGACAGGACCAUGAGUUUGGUUUCCUGUGCAGCUCCAGGCAGCUCUGCUCUUCUUUCAGGUCUUUGGAAGGCUUCAAAAUGCUGCUAAUAAGGAAUUAUUAAUAUUUAGGCCCCUCACAAUGCUGUCACAUUAAGAUGUCUUAAUGGGCCCUCCUUAUGGGGGGAGCAGGCAGAUUCUGGUCCCAGUGGUGUAAGCUUAUGCAUGGAAUUCCAUGCAAUGGAAUUCCUCUAGAAAAAUCCACAUAUAAUGGAAAUGAAGCAUUUUAAAAGCAAUAUAUUUUUAUGCUGGUUUGCUGCUCCUGUCCUUUAGCGUAAAAAAUUGUUUGGGAUUCUCAGGUUGGUGUGAAAUGCCUGGUCAGAAAGAUAUCUAAUCAAUCGCAUUCAUGUUGUUAUGGGAAUUUCCCUCUUGCAGUCCAAUGUUCCUCAGGAAAUGAUACUGAACAGCUCAGCAUCUCUCUGAGGUGUUGGUAUGGUCACCCAUCUGUAACUUGCCUGGAAGUGUUUUGCAGACCUUUUGAGGUUUAGUCGCUGAAAACAUCAUACAAUGAUGUUUCACAUGAACUUCUGCUCAUUUUUAUCUCUCACCGGAGGCAGCAAUGCUGAAGCAGUAACACACACCCCCAGGACUCCUUGCCUGAUAUGUGCUCUAAGCGGUCAAGACGUGGUGCUUACCUUCUCCUCAACCACAAAAAGAGGAGGAUCUGGCUUACUAAGUCUUGAGCAAUGAAAAUCAGAGCAAUGGGCUGUAAUGAAGUAGAUUGAUGACAGAAAAGUAAUUAACAUGUAAAAGUUAAUUGUUGCAGGCAUUACAUGUGGACUGAGCUGUUUUAUGCGGAGACAAGCAUGGCUUUUUGCUGGGAUAUGGCAGGGUACAGAACGCUGCAGCCUUAUGCAGCAUGCUUCACACCACAGCUAUGCAUUUAUUCUGAUGAUCUGAUAACUUGGCAGGCAGUUACCCACACCGCUCUGUGCCGUUUAACUUGCACCAUGUGCUGAAGUGCUUGUGCUAUGACACAGCCCUGAGCAUCCCAUCUCUAAGUCGUAAUAGCAAGCAUGACGAAAAAUCAUCUUCAUCUCUCCUCUUUUCCUGUUUUGACUCAGACUGCUGAAAAUUUGGCACCAGAUUCCAAAAGCUAAUCAAGCCCUUGUCUUCUGUAGUUUACUCACAAUUUUCCUUUAGAAAAAUGCAACCAAGAGCAACCCAUGAGGCAAGAUGUAAAAUUCUGCUGAAAUCACAUGUGAGGUGAGCCUGCAGAAUUGUGAUUUCGAUACCUUUGGUGGUUUGAUGUAAGGCUUUAGCUUAAGCCACCAAUAGAAAUAUUCUGUGUGUAUGUGUGUAUGCAUAACCCAAUUGUAUUUUUACUGCCCACAAACUCACACAUACAAUUAGACAGAGCAAGCUGUCACUGCCUGUAAGUCUGGGUUCAGGAAACAGAUGUGCCUGUAUCUUGCAGUGUCCUCAGAUCUCUAAAAGAGAUAAACUGCAAAGAUCCAGAAGGAAAAGUUACAUAAAAAGUGAAUCUCCAGUAUUCCCAAAAAAGGCAUGAACAAAUGGUAGAUAUUUACUCCAAAAUCCUUCUAUGCAGCCAUUUCUAAUCUGCAGUAAAAGAAUUGUGCUUGCUUAUAUCAUAACAGAGAAUGCUGAAAAUUUUGUGGGUGGCAAAUAAACCUAGUAAGUGAAUAUCAGCCAUCUUCUGUGAAAUCCUUGCAAUGGCAAAACCUGUACGGGACUGCCAUGCCUUUGGGUUAGAUAGCUCCUUCAUGGAACAGAAAUGACAAAGCUCUGAGUAGCUUAUUGGAGGGUAUGGAAAAGGCCUUUCAUGGGUGACUAGUUUUUUAAAUUCCUAAAAACACCAAACAGUUCUGAAACACACCUAGUCAUUGCUGGGACACUUGUUUAUACAUAGCCAUGUAUUUGCUUACACAGUGGAGAUAAACUAAGACCUCUUUUUGGAGCCCUCUUUCCCUGGCAGACUGUUGGGGUACAGAUACGAUAGAACCUAGAUGUGAGCCACCCAUGGUUUGAGGUUUAAUUCUGCAAACCAUAAAUCUCCUAUUUGACCUUUCCAAAGAGCAUCUUCCAAUGUUACCUCAUGCCAGGUUCCCCCUUGUGCUGGCAGGGGUGCCCAACCGAGGUGUGCAAAGGGCACUGCUAUCACCACGCGACUGCUAUCGUGUUGGGUGGUCUAGUGCUUCAGCCCUGCACCAAGCAGUGGGGGUGGGAAGGGAAAGGUGCCAGCUGGAGGAACUGUUGCUCCAUCAGCCCUGCUGCUAAAUUUUCACCUAGGGCUAAGCUAGUUCCCUUGGAAAACCUAAAAUUCCAAGAGGUAAUGCAGGACAGCACUUAGCUUCUCUAAUAUGUGAGCAAUGUUGGGUACCACCUGCAUUCUCUCUCUGCAUUAGUAAUAGUAGUAGCAAUAAUGAUAAUAAUGAUAUUAAUAUUAAUAAUGGUGCACUUCAAGCCCAGUUGGUGCCCUUCAUUCUGGGUUAGAACUAAAAUAAGCAUCAUCUAGGUUUUGUGUUUGUCCAGUCCUGGGUUUCUGAGGGCUGUUUGUAAGUCUUCCUGAGGCAGUAGCUUGAAUCCCUAAGAAGAGAAAUUGUAUUUGCUUGUUCUCAUGCCACCUCUGUGACUAAUCCAAGACAUCCCCUAAAAUAGCACUUGGUGUAUCUUCUGGAUGGUGGGAAGUUACUAAAAGGUAGUGAGGAGCGGAGGAGGCUCUGCAGAAGGCAAGCGCUUCAGUCCCAGUGCUGUGAGUCGCUUCAUGUGGUCCUGGGGUGUAUCCCUCUGGAAGGGCCAGAGCCUGGCAGUGGAGAGGCAGUGUCCUGAAUUCCAGCGCAGAUGCCUCUGCUAUCAUUACUCCCUAUAAUCAGUGUCACACCAUGCCCUUGUUGCUGAUUUUUCCUCCUUAUUUUAUUAUACAGGCCCCUUUCUGUCUGCAGGCAAGUUGGGCAACGAGCUUUCCGGCAAUGAUAGCAGGCGACAGUAUUUACUGCAGGGAGCAGAGCUGUCAGUUUGGGAACACAUGGGAAGAGUGCAGGGAAAAGGAGGCCAGCCUCAGUGUCUGCCUCAGCUUCACUCAGGCUGGGCUGAGCCUGCCAAAGCCUUAGAGGUCUGCGUGGGUCAUGGGGACUCUGAAGAAGACAGCCAUGAAGAAAUCUGGGAGGCAUUAAAAAAGUAAGUCUGUGCAUGGUCACCCAGCAGUGCUAAGGACUGGCUGACUCCAGAAACUGAGGCCAAAUGCGUGGGAAUGAAGUGCUAGUGAGAUUAAAUUUGGGUUUACAAACUCCAGCCAGCAUCAACAGGAGCAGCCGUGGAAGCAACAGGCAGGGUUCUGCUGCACAGAAUGUCUAAGGCAGGGAAGCCCAGCCCUCUUGCUUGCUGGAUGAUGGAGCCCGAGUAUGUCACCGCCAGGAGUGUCGAUCCAGCACAGCCUGGUCCCUGGGGGCGAGUCCACUUCCAUCGGCAUCCCGAGGAGUGCUCACUCACUGGCCGUCUGUCAGAAGCUGUGAAGGAUUGGGAGCUGGGUGCACAUGGAGCGAUUUCAAGUAUCUGGGAUGAUGCCCAGGCUUCUUGAGCAGAGAAAACACACUACUGCUAAAGCCGGUGUUGGGUCCGUACGUAACUUACUACUGGAGGAAAGCCCAGCAGUUUUGCAGGUCGAUGAUGUCUUUAGAGCUGGGAAGAAAGCUUGAGCUGGGCUUAGAGAUUUUAUUUUCUAACUGUACCUUGCUUUGCUUUGACUUCACCCGAACAACAAAAUUUGUUGUGUCACUCCUUAUAACCUGCUUUCUUGGGGGAAAGAGAGUCUUACUCUUAGGCAAAUGGUGCCAUACAGCCUUUGAGGGGAAUAAAAAGGUGGUUUGUAAAUUGAA